CCUACGGGGGGCAGCAGUGGGGAAUAUUGCGCAAUGGGCGAAAGCCUGACGCAGCGACGCCGCGUGAGGGAUGAAGGUUUUCGGAUCGUAAACCUCUGUCAGAAGGGAAGAAAGUGCGUGGUGCUAAUCAGCCGCGUAUUGACGGUACCUUCAAAGGAAGCACCGGCUAACUCCGUGCCAGCAGCCGCGGUAAUACGGAGGGUGCGAGCGUUAAUCGGAAUUACUGGGCGUAAAGCGCACGUAGGCUGUUGUGUAAGUCAGGGGUGAAAUCCCACGGCUCAACCGUGGAACUGCCCUUGAUACUGCAUGACUGGAAUCCGGGAGAGGGUGGCGGAAUUCCAGGUGUAGGAGUGAAAUCCGUAGAUAUCUGGAGGAACAUCAGUGGCGAAGGCGGCCACCUGGACCGGUAUUGACGCUGAGGUGCGAAAGCGU
rnacentral:rRNA from 1 species